rnacentral:rRNA from 1 species
UCGAACGAUGAACCACUUCGGUGGGGAUUAGUGGCGAACGGGUGAGUAACACGUGGGCAAUCUGCCCUGCACUCUGGGACAAGCCCUGGAAACGGGGUCUAAUACCGGAUAUUGACCUUCACGGGCAUCUGUGAGGUUCGAAAGCUCCGGCGGUGCAGGAUGAGCCCGCGGCCUAUCAGCUUGUUGGUGAGGUAAUGGCUCACCAAGGCGACGACGGGUAGCCGGCCUGAGAGGGCGACCGGCCACACUGGGACUGAGACACGGCCCAGACUCCUACGGGAGGCAGCAGUGGGGAAUAUUGCACAAUGGGCGAAAGCCUGAUGCAGCGACGCCGCGUGAGGGAUGACGGCCUUCGGGUUGUAAACCUCUUUCAGCAGGGAAGAAGCGAAAGUGACGGUACCUGCAGAAGAAGCGCCGGCUAACUACGUGCCAGCAGCCGCGGUAAUACGUAGGGCGCAAGCGUUGUCCGGAAUUAUUGGGCGUAAAGAGCUCGUAGGCGGCUUGUCACGUCGGUUGUGAAAGCCCGGGGCUUAACCCCGGGUCUGCAGUCGAUACGGGCAGGCUAGAGUUCGGUAGGGGAGAUCGGAAUUCCUGGUGUAGCGGUGAAAUGCGCAGAUAUCAGGAGGAACACCGGUGGCGAAGGCGGAUCUCUGGGCCGAUACUGACGCUGAGGAGCGAAAGCGUGGGGAGCGAACAGGAUUAGAUACCCUGGUAGUCCACGCCGUAAA